GAGAGAAUAUCCAAUACAAAUAUUCGAAUCCAACAAACAAAAUUCGCUGAAGCUUUUGAGCUCUGAGAAUGAAAGAAUGCGUCAAUGGCCCGAUACGAAUUUCUCUCUACGAGAUUCAAACCCGGCAUCAGAAAUUAAACACACUCAUUUUUAAGUUGUCAGGUGUUUCAACUUACUUCAUGGGUCCGGAAAACAGUUGUGAAAGCAUUUAGUUCCAUCCACCGCAUGAGCAACUCUUCACUCCUGUGAUACUUGAUAAAAGGUACACAAGGAGUACCUGCAACCAAAAUGCUGAGAUGGGAACCUUAUAAGCCUUCAGUUCAUCCCAAACACGUCGUACAGCUUCUGUUCCACCCUGCAUUCCAACAACAGCUCCAGAUAUAAUCCAGUUAGGAAGCUCUGGAGGCCUGCCGAUAGUCUCUGUUAAGUGUUCAAUAAGCUCAGAAGGUGAGUUGCCAUGCAAUAUUCUUCCUUCAGCUGAACUGCUAUGUAUCUGCAAGCUCCAUUAUACAGAAAACAGGAAACUGCAAGUUUAAACUCAAAUGAGCUUCUAUUUUGUACGUCUAAAAAGAAAAUUUCUGUUGCUCUUUUCAAAUAUAUAAAUAUAUAUAGAACCUAAUUUCUUAUCUAUGUAUAUUUGUAUAUUCGGAACGUGUUGUGAAUAGUUGAGUUUAUUAGACCAAGGUGAUUUAGACAGAAAAAUUCUAUAUCGUACUAGUGAUGUGUUGCUCUUCAA